rnacentral:rRNA from 1 species
UGCCAGCCGCCGCGGUAAUACGGAGGGGGCAAGCGUUGUUCGGAAUUACUGGGCGUAAAGGGUGCGUAGGCGGCCAAGUCAGUCAGGCGUGAAAGCCCAGGGCUCAACCCUGGAAUUGCGCUUGAUACUGCUUGGCUCGAGACCGGAAGAGGGUAGUGGAAUUCCCAGUGUAGAGGUGAAAUUCGUAGAUAUUGGGAAGAACACCAGUGGCGAAGGCGGCUACCUGGUCCGGAUCUGACGCUGAGGCGCGAAGGCUAGGGUAGCGAAAGGGAUUAGAUA